CCUAUGAACCGCACUUCAUCAACCUCCGAGGUUCAGAAACUCAUGGACUCAAAAUAGACACUGGAAUUCUGACACACUACAACCUGCCGGACAUCUGACUCCCCAGAAAGACCUGCAACUUCUGUGGGUGGGUCUUUGGCUCAAGGAUUGGACUCUUAAGUCACCUCAAGACCCAUCACUGAGUUGUGGUAGAAAUCAUCUUCAAAUCAAGGGAUUGCUGACAACAAUGAAAAAAGGGGUAAGCAUAAUGCUCCCACAUACGCGAAGACUUCCACUGAUUUUAAUAGGCUUUGCCAUAUGCUCAGUCUGAGGUGACCCAGACCUUUCACUGAUGUUGCAUUGGGGUUGUGCUUUUCCGAGUCUGCAGAUGUUGAUUUGGGUGAGUGGUUUUAUGCAAACGCUAGUCCUUUGACGUUUUCAUGCUAUAUGCAGAAUUUUCUUUUAAAGUCACAUUAACAACAUUUAUUGGAAUUAGUACCAACUUUUGGGCAUAGUUAUUGCAACCUACUAUUAUUAUCUUUCCUGUUAUUAUCAUUACUACUGCUAUUACUAAGCAAACUUUCAUAGUGAACCAAAAACUGAAAAUUGAGCACUACUUCCUAGCCCAGCAGUGUGAGAAAAAGAGAAUAAGCCUAAAUCUGUUUAAGAGGAGAAGAAACCUCUUAAAAAUUCUUUAUAGAGCUAAUAAAGCGUUCUGGCUGAUUCAGUGUUAGCUGCUGACAUCAGAGACAUCAGAAUGCUCCUCAGUGCACUGAGGUGGUCCAUAGGGUUAUGAGUAAGAGUUACUCAUUUUCUAGAAUGGGAAAGCAUUUUCAAAGGUUCCUGUUUGUCAUUAUCUUCAUAUCUCUCCCUAUGCAUGUACAUGAAAAAUAUCUUUGUCUGGACUUUAUGGGCUGUCUUAUUGUAACAGCUGAGCUGAGAUGUCCAACAGUGAUGCAUUCUGAGUGUCAGCAGUGAACCUGGAACUGGCUAAAAGAUUUUGUAGGAGCUAUAAAUUCUCUCUUCCCAAAGGUUAUUUCCAUUCAUACACUGUGCAUGUGGAACUUACUUCUAUGGUCAGGUCAGUGUUUAAGGUUUUCUUUGUAACUUUCCAUUCUAAAAAGUAAAUUGAAAUCCUGUUCACCUAUUAAAUUUGAUGGUCCUGUGCAUGGGUACAGUAUUUGUUUUCUUUGGGAUUAUUUUCUGAAUUACAGUUUUCUUGAAAUGACUGAUGGCAUUAAGAUGUCAAAAAAGAACAAAGUCCAUCAAUGGCAUAUGGGCUGGUGCUUUACAGCAUAUAUAUUAAGAUAGGUACUAACACAGGUUUUACUUUGUUAAAUGGUUCCUUUAGCAUCUUUAGACAAAGUCUAGCAUUGCUUUAGGUUACAAACUUGUCACUGAAGCCUGUAGGUAGUACUUCUACACAUAACCUAUUACUAGUUUAAUUUUUAUGGCAUUAUGGUGUUUUGAUAAUGUUUCCUUUAGCUCCAUUUAUUCUCGGAGAGUUUGCUUCCUAUUGGAUGAAGUCCUAAAGAUGUUUAUGCAGGUGGCUAAUUUCUGAAAAAAGUAAGUAUUCACUGUGCAAAUGAGACUAAGCAUGAGUCCCAUGGCAACUCAGCCUCCUCCUUGGGCUGCAGCUGGAUGUAGAAAAUGGAAUGGAGAUGUGACUGGGCUGCCCCUCAGAGGAGGUGUAACUGCAGGAUCUUCACAUUAGGAUGAUCCAUGUGGUACAGGCUGCUUCCAUUGUUCCCAGUGAAAUCCUCUGGUUCACUGUCACCUUGACUAAGUAACUCAAUUUUUGUGUGUUUUGUGUCUUCUAAAAGUAGGGAUGGUGACAUGUCUCCACUUUAGUCAAGAACUUUGGAAUCUAGAGGUGAAAGAUAUUCAAGGGCAGGCUGAAAGAUCUAGACAGGAGACAGGGUAGAUUAGAAGCGUUUAUUUGGGAGAAGAGAACACCAAGGGGGAAUUUGAUAAGAGUCUUCAAAUGAGCCUUCAAAGAAGGGCCUAUCCUCCACAGUGGACACCAACUAGGAGCAAUGGCUUCAGACUUCAGGAGAGAAAAUUUAGGUUGGAGAUUAAAGAGGUAUGAAAAGUUUCAAAGCAUGCAUCUCCUCUGACUAUGAGGGUGGUCAAGUAUUGAAUGAAGCUAUCUAAAGAAACUGUAGAAUUUCUAUUCCUGGAAAUUUUCAAGAGUAGGUUAUACAGACACUUGACUCGGGUGGUAUAGUAAAGGCUGAUCCUGCCUUGGGCAGGGUGCUGGGUUAAAAGACCUCAUGAGAUCUUUUCCAGACCUACUUUCCUAUGAUCCUAUGUCAUACAAGUGCUGAGAACUGUCAUUCCUUCAGUCUUGCUGCAGCUGUUCUUUAUGCAAACAAAUCUGUUUUUAACUGGACCAUCUCAUAUAUUUUCAAAAUGGGGCUUGCAGCUGGCUUGUACUGCUAGAUUUUCAGAUGGAGGGCCUGAUUUUUUGUCUUCUGGUUGGGUUAUAGGAGAUAUACUAAUGAUUUAUUUUAGUAAAAUGCGUAAUUUCUGAAUGUAUCUGUUUAUCUACUUCCUGUGCUUUUCCUAUGAUUCCAAGGAGUUCAGCAUCACAGGAAAAUACAGGAUGGUCUCUGGAAAGGCAAUAGAAAAAUAAUUAAAUGAAGGGGGGGGGAAAAAAGUCCAGAACCCACAUUUGCCAGCAAAUUAGUAGCAUGAACUACAUAGCUCAGUCAAGGUGUACAGUGUAUAUUGUUCUUAAGAAUAUGGUUGUUAAUGUGUCAUGAUAAAGGAUAAACAGUUUGUCAGUGUAAGAAACUUUACAAUGAGGAUACAAGAAUAACAGAUUGUCAUGCACAAAAUGGUAUGAAUCUCUUUGGCUAUUUACUUUUCAUGUCUCUUUGAGCUAAAGCUCAGGACUUAUUUAGAUAUACUCCUGGAAAGCAUAACCCUUCCUUUCCUUCCCUCCCCUUUCCUAUAGAAAUAAGAAGUAGGUCACUUUUGUAGCAACAUUUUAGGGGUUUGAGAUACUGAAGAGCUUUGCGCAUCCUGGCUGCUCUGCCUGCGCUGGGAAAAUUUAUCUGGCAGUAGAUCAAAGGGAAGCUGAACCAUGCCCCUUCCUCCCAUUCCCACUUCUGCAUUUCCCCUUUUACAUUUUUGGCAAUCACAAAAAGAGACAAGAGGCAGUUGCCAGCUACCCACUCCCUUCUUUCCUAAUUUCCAAGGGGCUAGCUGGUACAGAACUUCCAAGAAACAGUUGGCACAGAACACAUGCUUACUUCAUGGUAAGAGGGACACUGGCAUGUAUAAACUUUUUUGUAGUUAUAAAAAAAUGUUUUGACUGAUGAAACAACCAAGGUAUUUCAGGUGUCUGGAAAUAAGUUGCUGGGAUGUUGUGACAUAAGGGAAACUGAGACAGUCCUGCUAGACCUAGAACAUGUCUUAUCCAGAAGCAGCCACAACUGUGCUAGUAGAAGUAGGUUUAACAAGAAAAGGUCAGACACUCCAAAAUCACUGGACCUCUUGAAAGAAAUUAGCUCCUGUUACCUUGGGGCCCUCACAGCAAGGUGAAGGCAACUUCAUCCCUCCCACCUCCAUGUAACCUGGUGUCCUGUACCAGCUGACAGACCAGUUGGAUUGAUGGUAGCCAUUAUGGUCUAGACUGCUAUUUGAAGCAACACCUGAAGCAGAAACGAGGAAAAUACCAUCAGCCCCAGAGGCUUGUGAAAUUUUGUGAGCAAUAAUUUUGCCUUGAGCCUCCGUAUCUGGUUUCCUUCAGUAUUUUUCUCUGCCUUCCCUUUGUUUCCAUCUCUUCUCUUGUCUCUUCUCUCUCAUUUUUCCCCUGGAGUGGUACCUCUCUUGCAUCUUUUACUUCAGCUCCACUUAUCCAUCCAUUUACAUAGACCAAAGAGUUAUUUGUUAGUACUGACUUUAUAUACAGGUGGAUCUAAGCUGUAAUCAAAAGUGUUCAGCACCAGCAGAAUUGAGCCAUUCCUCUUAGCUUUUGUAGUCUUAGCUGCUCAUUUUGUAGUACCAACUGGCUAGAAUUACAAUCAUGCAUCAAGAGUCUGUCUGAGAUCAGAAGGAAUUUCAGGAUACUGAAAAUGAUGAGUGGGUACCAGAGAAAGUGCCAGGUCUUUGCAGUAACCUGUGUGCCCCAUGAAGUGACUGUAAACAAAAGGAAGUUACAGGGAUAGCAGGAAGGAAAGUCAAUAAGAGAGUGGAGCUAGUAGGGAAACAACUUUGCCUAGAAGUACAGACUAUAUUUUUUUGAGUCAUAAAAAUGCUAUGUGUAAAGUACACAAGUGUGUGAUCUUGGAAACUCUUCACUGAUGCAUGUCGGCAACUUUAUCAAAUGUUUUCAGUAUUUUCAGCAAUGGGAUAAACUCACUUGACAGCCUAAUCCUUAAAUGGCCUGGUCCAAUUCUCUUUUACUGACGCAUUCUGGAAUGUUGCUCCUGACUUCAGUUAUACACAAAGGGUGCUGGCAAAAUUAACUUUUUCUUUUCUUUUUUUAAAACUUCAUAAUAUUAAUGAAUCCGACUCAUAAAAUAACAGAUUUAACAUUGAAAAGCAUUUCCAGUCUCCCCAAAUAUAUACACACAGACAGACAUAAAUUGUCUAUGAAUAGUCCUGCCACAAUCUGAAACAAUAUCCACAGAAGUCUUGUGUUCCCUUCCUCUCCUCCUCUCAGCCAGUAUUUCUUCAUUUCUAUAUGGUAAUUCCCACCUUUGUUUCCCUAUAACUGCAGAAUACCAACAAACCUCAUUAUUUUCUUUUCAUUUCUUCUUUUAGUUUUUAAAUUUAUUCUUAAGUGUUCAUUCAUGGUAUUUGCCCAUCAAUAGUCAAAAAAAGUUUCUCAAAUGUUUUGGUUCAGAGAUAUAAGCUUCUUUUUUUUAGAAAAUUCCAAAAAAAUCCACCAGAUUUCCAAAUAAGCAUCUUUUGCCUUUUCCCUUGUAGAACACUGAUUUGAUAGGGCAACUUUUCCAUUACUAAAAUGUCCUGAACUUUUUGAAAUCAGUUAGUGAUUCUAAGGGUGUCACUUCUCUUCCAGGCUUUUGCAACAGUAAUUCUUGCAGCUAGUAGAAGUGAUCAAUUUCUUAUGACACAUAUACGUUGCAGAGUUCUGAGGAAGGUUGAAUAAGAACAUGAAGGGGUUAUCUGAUAGUUGGCAUCCUGCUAUUUCUUUCAGUACAUCUCCAACCUUCUUCCAAAACAGUUUCUUGUGGUAGACAUAUUGCAGAAUUAAUCUUCCCAACUGACCAUACUCCCUCCAACAUUUGCCUGUUCCUGUAUCAUAAAUGCAUUUAAUUUUAAGUGGGGUGAGAUACCAUCAAUACAGGAAAUGAACAUAAUUUUCUUUUAUUACUGUGCAGAUGGACAUGUGAGAACCAUUAUUUCAGAUGGUAUCCCAUUUUUCACUCAUUUCUGAUCCAGUUUUGUUAACCCACUGUCAGGCUGUGGCCUUGAACCCAGGGCUUUGGCCUGCUCAGCAUAGCUGCUCCUGGACUGCUGCUACCUUGGCUGAGUACUUAGGUGGAUGCAGGUGAUUGGAACCUUCUUCCAGGGCCUCACCACCCACCCACUCUGCCAUGGAGUGGCUGGCCAGGGUCAGCUGUUCCGUCACCCCUUCCUAUAAGAAACCCUGUCUUGGAGAAGGAAGUGUCUGGGCAACAGGUUCAGUCUUGUACUCAGGCUGCUUUGCCCUUAGAUUGUACCUCUCCUGGCUCGCUGAUAGGUUGUCUGGCUGUCUGACUUGGCUUGCCCACAGACCCUGAGUUUGGCACGACCCUUUUGCGCCCUAACUGGGCUCCUGAUUUUAUCUCUCAGAUACCUGGCCUGCCCUUCUGACUGUGGACUCUGCCCAACACUCUGGAUUUCUGAUCUGGCUCCAGAGAUUGAUGUCCUAGCUUCUGGCUUCCUGGCUCCCCUAUAGUCAGGCUCUACAUAUUCCUUCUGCUCCCAGUUGCUUCUCCAGACCCUGGGUAACUCCCUGACCUGGAUGCCCAUGACCUGCUGUGACACCCACCUUGUAUGAACAGGUUUUUCUUCUAUAUGACUAUUUGCUUUAUAUAACACAGGCAAUAGUCCUGUAUGUUUAAUAGGUGUGACCAAUAUUUUCCCAAAUUCUGUCAUAUUUCUACUAAGUUACCUUUCUGUAGGAAUGUGUUGGAAAGUGUUUUAAUUGCAGGUAUUGGAAAAUGGGAUUUUCAUGUCAUCUAUAGUAUGUUGUAUUUCUUCACAAGAUCUAACUAUAUAUAUUUUUGAAUAACUGUUCUCGGUGUCAUGAUAGACUACAAAAUGUACAUGAGCCACCAAUGCGAUGCCGUAGCUGGCAGAGCUAAUCAAACACUGGCCUGCAUCUACCGAGGUAUCUCGAGCAAGGCUAAGGAUGUCAUCCUCCCUCUCUACUUGGCCUUGGUGAGACUGCAGCUGUGUCCAGUUCUGAAUGCCGCACUUCAGAAAGGACGUGGAAAAGGUCAAGAAAGUCCAGAGGUGGGCCACACGCAUGAUUGGAAGCCUAGAGACUAGGUCACAUGAGGAGAGGCUGAAACACUUGGGGACUGUUCAGCCUGGAGAACAGAAGAUUUGGUGGCAGCCUGUAAGUAUAUCAAGGGCAUACGUCAGGGCCUGGCGGAGCAUCCGUUCACCAAGGCCCCCCAGGGGAGAACAAGAAAUAUGGGCACAAGCUGAUUAAGGAACACUGCAGGCUAGACGUAAGGAAAAACUUCUUUACAAGUUGAAUGCUGAGGGUUUGGAACAGGAUCCCCCACCAGAGGUGGUGCAGUCAUCCACCCUGGUGAUCUUCAAAAAGCGUCUUGAUGCCCAUCUUGCUGGGGUCAUCUGAUCCCAGCAGUCUUUCCUGCUCAAGUGCAGGGGAGCUGGACCCAAUGAUCUGCAAGGUCCUUUUCAGCUCCUAACAACUCUGAAACUAUAUGAUAAUAAUAUGUUUCCAGUUAUUAGAGCUUUCUAAUAAAUUAUUAGGAUGAAAUUCAGUAUUAUUACAUAUAGGUGGUAGGGUGAUGGUUAUGAGCUUAAUUUGUUAUAUGUGUUAUCUCAAGUUUUCAUUGUUGCCAUCAUAAAGGGGUGAUCAUAUAGACUUUAGCCUGGAAGGUUUCUUUAGCCAUAGUAGUAUGUUAAGAUUCACUGCUGGAUGGUAUAUUUGCUGUAUUUCUACCCAGCACUUACUGUGAAUUGGUAUAAUCCAAUACAACAAACGUCUAAGUUGGUUGGCUUGGUAGUAAUAUUUAACGUUUGGAAGCAUCAGUCUCCCCCUUUCACUAAGGUCUUUGCAGGAUGUGACUUUUAAAUCUAGGUUCCUAAUUUUCCCAAAUAAAUUUAUUUAUCAUAGUCUGCCAUUCAUCUAAGAUUUGUUGGCAAUAUAAUAGACAGAGUUUAGAACAGAAACUCAAUUUGGGCUAAAAUAGUUGUUUUGACUGAUGCACUUUUAUCUAACUAUGAAAUUUCAAAUUUUGACCAAUUUUCUAAGUCUACUUUGAUUGUUUCAAUUAAAGGAAUAUAAUUAAAACUGUAAAAGUCUUGCUAUUUUUUAGUAAUAUUCAUACCUAAGUAUUUUAAUGGAGUUACCUACUUAUAUCUAUAGCAUUUUUUAAAAUCUCUUUGUGUGUCUGGUUCUACACUAAUGUCUAGGAGUUCUGUUUUUUUCCCCAUAGUUAAUUUUAAAUCCUGAAACGUUGCCAUAUUUUAUUUCUUUUUCAAUGCCAGAAGAGGAAAUGAAUGAAGAACAUGGGUUUGAGGGAAAGCAUGUGAAGCUGAAAGCUUUGCAUGUGUCAGUAUUGUUUUAUUUAAUGGCCUCAGCACCUGUCCAGUUCUAUUCUUGAAAUGACACUAAUUUAUUGUUUUUAUCGGUAAAUGAAAAUAAUGAAUCAUUUGUAAUUGAAUAAUAAGAGGAAGGAUUUACAAUGUGGUAACAGAAACAAUUUUGGAUUAAACUUUAAAACUUUCACCUCUCAUUUGAAGACUUGUCCAAAGUAAAAGCCAAGUUGUUUUCAUUAAGCUAGUUUCUAUUUCCUUUUUUUUUUUUCCCCAAGGCUUCUUAACCUAGGGCAUAGGUCCUAGGCUCAGGUGAGGCAAAAGCUUCUUCCUCUAUUCACUCCUUGCACUUCAAGUCCUCCACACCCAAGGGCAGAUGCAGAAGAAGGGUGGUGGUGUGGUCCCAACCCUCUCUUGGACCAUGUUAUAGGAGCAGCAAUUGGAGUCUUUUUAAAAAUCCCUGAAUCAGGAAAAGCAAGGGCAACAUUGGACCCCUGCUAAACCUGAUGGGACAACUGACAACCGGCGCCCAGGAAAAAGCCAACCUAUUAAAUGGGUACUUUGUGUCAGUCUUUCAUCAGUCCCAUGGGACGGCCCUGCCCACUACGGGACAGGGGGGCCUGGGUGAGGGAGAUUCCCUGCCCUCCAUCAAUGCUGACCUCAUGAAGGAACACCUUGAGAGGCUGGACACCUUCAAGUCAGCUGGCCCUGACAGUCUCCAACCCAGGGUACUCAAGGAGCUGGCGAGCAUCAUAGCCCAGCCCCUGGCACGGAUCUUCGAGAACUCCUGGCACUCUGGUGAAAUGCCUGAAGAUUGGGAGAAGGCCAGUGUGGUGCCUAUCUUCAAGAAAGGCAGGAAAGUAGAUCUGGCAAACUUACAGGCCCAUCAGCCUGACCUCUAUCCCAGGGAAAGUCUUGGAAAAGAUUAUCAAAGAGGCCAUUCUCAACAGACUGGAUGAUGGCAAGUUCCUGAGGGAUAGCCAGUACGGGUUUGUUGCGGGUAGGUCUUGCUUGACCAACCUUAUUUCCUUUUACGACCAGGCGACCUAUCACCUGGACAAGGGAGAGGAGAUUGACGUCAUAUAUCUUGACUUCAAAAAAGGUAUCCCAUGAUCACCAAUUGGCAAAACUGGCCAACCAUGGCCUCAGGUCCACCAUGAUCAGCUGGCUAGGGAAUUGUCUCCAUGGUCAGACCCUGAGGGUGGUGGUUGACGGAAGUCAAUCGUUGUGGUGCUCUGUGAUCAGUGGGGGUCCCCCAAGGCUCUGUCCUUGGACCUAUCUUGUUCAACAUUUUCAUUAAUGAUGUGGAAAUUGGAGUCAGAAGUGGACUGGCCAAGUUCGCUGAUGAUACCAAACUCUCGGGUAAAGCAUCCAUACCCGAGGACAGGACGGCGAUCCAGGCUGACCUUGACAUGCUCAAGAAAUGGGCGGAUGAGAACCUGGUGGUGUUUAACACCGAAAAAUGCAAGGUUCUCCACCUUGGAAGGAUAAACCUGCAGCAUCCUUAUAGGCUCAGCAGUGCUAUGCUGGCUAGCACUACGGAUGAAAGGGACUUGGGGGUCAUGAUUGACCACAAGAUGAAUAUGAGCCUUCAAUGUGAUGCUGCAGCUAGUAAAGCAAGCAAAACGUUGACUUGCAUCCAUAGAUGCUUCUCAAGCAAAUCCUGGGUCAUCAUUCUCCUGUUGUACUUGGCCUUGGUGAGGCCACAGCUGGAGUACUGCAUCCAGUUUUGGGCUCCUCAAUUUAAAAAGGAUGUGGAGAAGCUUGGGAGAGUGCAGAGAAGAGCCAUGUGUGUGAUCAGAGGUCAGGAAAACAGACCUUAUGUUGACAGUCUGAGAGCUAUAGGACUCUUUAGCCUGGAAAAGUGCAGGCUCAGGGGCGAUCUGAUGGCCACCUAUAAGUUUACCAGGGCUGUUCACCAGGAUCUGGGGGGACAAUUGUUCACCAGAGCACCCCAAGGGAUGACAAGGUUGAAUGGUUAUAAACUUCAGCAAGACCGUUUCAGGCUGGAUAUAAGGAAGAAUUUCUUCACUGUCUGAGCCUCCAAGGUCUGGAAUAGCCUGCCACCGGAGGUGGUUCAUGCACCUACAUUGAAUGUCUUCAAGAGAAAUUUGGAUGUUUAUCUUGCUGGGAUCCUAUGACCCCAGCUGACUUCCUGCCCCUGGGGCAGGCGACUGGACUCAAUGAUCUUCUGAGGUCCCUUCCAGCCCUAAUGUCUAUGAAAUCUAUUUAUACAACCAUUAACUGUGUUGCCACAUGGACCCUGACAAUCUGCAUUACAGCCUAUAUCACUAAAGCUGUAAGGUGCUAUAGUAUUUAACUAGCCAAAUCAAAUAUCUGAAAAGACCUCAUGUAGAUGAAACAAAAGUGGUUAACUAUAGAAGAAAAAGAAGUGACACACAAGGUAUGAAAAGCUUUGGCUUGAGAGUGUUCUUUUUCUAGUCGGCUCAGUAAAGGUGAGAUCUGUAAAUCUGUUACUACUAAUGUAACAUAUAUUUCACUGGUAUGGGCUAUAUCUUAUAUUUGUGUCAUGAGGAUGAAUUGGGUAACUAAUGCUUUUCCAUUUCAUUGUAAGCAUAACAGAGGAACUAGUGGAUUGUGUAGUGUUUGAACAGGAAUUACAAAUUUACUGGUUCCACACACCUUCACUGCUAUUUUUUUUAAUGUGUUGUAACCAGGGCAACAAACAAAUAUUUUUAAACAGUCAUAUUUUCAGCACCAACUUUCCUUCCUAUUCAGAAAAAAAAUUAGAGGAAAGAAUUUUUAGGGAACCAUCCUUUUUUAUUGGUCCUUUUCUCAUCUUUUCAAAUUUGGUCUUACUGGUUUUAUGCUCUGAUGCAUUUUCAGGUGAAGGAUGUAUGUCACUCAUGGAGAGACUGGAGUGCUGAUUACUUGCUCCAUUCUUCCUCUGUGUCUCAUAGGGGCCAGGGUAGAGAUGGCUGAAAUGGAACACAGUCCCAAAUCAUAAUCUUCCCCCUGUUUUUUUCCUGCUGCAACAAUUCAUUGUCUCAAACAACAGGCUAGACUGUAAUAUGAUAACCUCUCCUGGAAUUAGCAUGAAAUAAAAUGAAUUAUUCUAUAAAAAAUAUGCUCUAUAAACUUGUAAAAGUAUCGCUGACUGGAAUAAUAAAGUAUGACAUCAAAGCAUAGAAUUUAUGUAAGGUAUCACAACUGCUUCUUUAGCAGCUGGUGUUUUCCUUGCUAAUUUACUUGGUAAAGAAAUUUCUUUUUCUGAGGGAUAUAUUCAGCAGAGAAAUGUGAAGGGGAUUCUUGGGAAUGUCCACAUUUAUCAGGAGGCACUUGCAAGUUUUGGUCCCUAGAGAACACUUAUUUUAAUUCUCAAACUUAAAAAAAAAAUCAUAUAAUGCAAAUAAGUUGAAAAAAUACAAAACUUAUCUUGGUCUUUCUAGCUGUUGCUAUGUUUUUGAGUAAUACAUUGUCUAAGCUAUGGCAGUCCUAUGAUGUAUUAAAUUAAUAUAUCAUAAGAAUGCCAUAGCUUUGAUGAUGUAUUAAUGUAAUACAUCGUUAAGGUGCCAUUGCUUUUAUGAUAUAUUACCAACUGGUUGGGUCAACACACAGGAAUCCAUGUGUAGGGUGCAGGAAAACUGCAAAUGUCUCUAAGUCCUAAAAAACAAUAAAAUGUAUCCAAAAUAUUUUCUACAUAAGAACAGUUUAGUUGGGUUUGGAGCCAUAUGGGUUUUGCAGAAAUGAUUGAAUUGAUUGGGGAUGUGAGACCUACAUCUACACUCUGUUCUGGGUAAAAAAAGUGUUUGAAAUGUAUGUGAGAGAAAGAAGGAAACAGCCUAAUCCUACUCUCAUUAAAGAUAGCGGCAAAAUUGGGCAGACAGGUUUAGAAUAUCUGUGAACCAACCUGAGCCUCUUUUCAGAACUAAUAUGAAUAAGUAAGGCUCCUUUCCUUUGUUUCGUUUUUGUUUUGAAAGGCCGCAUUUUCAAGCCUACCCUAUACUAUGCACACAGUUCCAAUUGACUUCAGUGGAAGCUGUGUGUGUCUGGGAGUCUUCUCUUAAUGCAUCUGCAAUUACUAGUUUCAGCUGGAUACAAAAGUGAAAAUUCUUCUCUUCUCUAAGACUGGUUAUUGCUGUAUAUAUUGAUCAUGACUGAAAUUGGCAAGUAGUGACGUCUUGCAGAAAAGUCUGAUCUAACAACAUUUCCAGAACAAAUUGCAUCCAAGGUACCUAAACUAAAUUGCUGAUGUUUUGAGGUUCUCCCCAAAUUUGAAGUAAUUUUUAAAAAAAAAGUAUGAAUUGGUUACCAAAUUUGACCAUAAAAUGUAUUAGAUGAUGAAAUAAAAUCCCACCCUAGUUUAAAAAAAAAUGUAUUUUUUUGCCCAACACUAUAUUUGUUCUUAUAAGUAUAAAAUGUGCUUUGUUUGGGAUCCUUCUGUUUGUUGAGAAUUGUUGUUAAUAAAAAUAUUUUUGUGACGUG